ensembl:lncRNA
AUCCAGCCUGCAGAAAGUGAUAAUCACCAUCAGCAAACCAAACAAAUUCAGAGGAAUCUUUAGUACCGGGAAGUGACACUAACAAUCUCUGCCAUUAGCAGAGGAUGACUCCUCCAGGAAGACCAGCGGCAGAUUCAGGGCUAACAGACUGACGUUAUAUCUGUGGUGAGGAGAGAGCUUUAAAAAUACAGAUUGCUCUGGGAAGAAAUAUUUGCAUAAAUAUUUUACUUCUAGCUGAUAUCACAUCUCUCCAAAUCCAGCCCUGCCUGGGAAGUGAAAUGAGCUUUUUUGUAUGCUAUCCACAGCCAAGCCAGUUUCACUCUCACAGUCCUCAUACAGGGAGGGUGUGUUUGUACAGGGAAAUAAUGUCACCAGAAAAGCAUGAUAGCACUUCAAGUAUCAGCCCUAGGAAGAUAGUAACCACAUAGGUAAGAAGAAUGCAAUGCAAUAUAGUAAAUGCAGAUUAAUAUUAAGAAGAAGCAGUGAAUCUAACAAACUCUAAUGCUGGGUUUUUCUCCAGAAACUCCAGACUUUUUUUUCCAAUUUCUUUUUCUUUUCUUUUCCUUCAGCUCAGUGUGAAUCCUUUGAAAACAGCUUAGAUGAUUGCGGGUGAUUCUCUGCAGACAAAAGAAAUGAUAGAGUUUCUUGGUACUCAUAUCUUUACACGUAUAACUGACGGAGCAGAUUGCUCUGUUGAUACAGCUGGAGCUUCAAAAUCCUUCCAGAACUUAGGAGAUCCCAGGCAGAUAUUUCAGGUGGACUGCAAAGUGCUGGUGACUCUUCUCUGGCCCAGACUGGCUGUGACAGGGAACUGCUGCAAUAAAUCAGCUGCUGGGAAAAUCACACUGAUUAUCAUUGUAUCCUUUCAGUAUGUAAAGGGGCUGUGAGAAGGAAGGGGACAGACUCUUCAGUGGAUCCGUUAUGAUAGGACAAGGGGAAAUGGCUUCAGACUGAAAGAGGGGAGUUUUGGCUGGAUAUAAGGAAGAAGGUUUGGCACUAAGGGCGGUGAGGCACUGGCACAGGUUGCCCAGAGAGGCGGUGGUGCCCCGUCCCUGCAGACAGCCAAGGUCAGGCUGGACGGGGCUGUGAGCACUGAUGGAGCUGUGGGUGUCCCUGUGCACUGCAGGGAGUGGCACCAGAUGGCCUCUGAGGGCCCCUUCCAACUCAAAACAUUCUAUGAUUCUGCGAUCCUGUGAUCAGUGGAGUGACCCUGGCACCGGCUGACCCUUUUCUCUUAGGAUGCCCAUCUCAAGCAUGCCUUUAUAUAGCUGGAUGGAGAUAGGACUGCUCUUCCUCCUCCUCAUCAUCAUAGAGUAAAAGAAUGAUGGUUUUAUGUAUGUACUGAAGUGACUUCUCAAAUGAAUCUUAAUCACAUGGGCUAAUUAGAGUCUGUGUUUGUUAAUCAAAUGUGAAUAGCAGUCUGAUUUCUCUAUUUAGAUAAAUGUCAGCUGGAAAACCUCUUGGCAGAUGGGCAAAUGUUUGCUACCCCGCAAUCUAAGUGGGCAUUUUAGCAGGUUGCAAACAUAAUUUCACAGCUAAUUGAGGAAAAAUGAAAACAGCGAUUCUAGUGUCCACCGUAGGAUCCCAGACACUUUUCCAAACACAAUGGGAGCCAGUGAAGUAUUGUACAUUAGGUCUGCAUUUUGUUCUCCUGGUUCCUCCUUGGGACGGUUGGCAAGAAUGGAAACAAGAGGACAGGUGUGCUCAGCCUUAGCAGGUCCUCAGGUCUGUUCCUGGGGGAGCAGAUGGCUGCAGUGCUUUCUCUUUGGCCCAGCUAUCCUUCCUUGUCACCUUCACAGAUCUCAUCUGGUGCAGUGAGUGCAGUGCCUCACAGGGAUGUCACCAUCCUGCUGAGUCCUGCAGUGAGCAGAGCUGGCAGCUGGAACUGGCAUGCAAUUUGGAGUGUGUUUGGGUUCCCUUCCACUGUCAAGAAUUACCCUGAAGAGUACUUAAAUAUCUCUCUUAAUGAUUGCAUUAAGUUUCAUGCCACUGAUAUUCCUAGCAGUUCCUCUGCCAGCUAAAGUGCUAAAUAUCCUGAUUUUAUCGUGCAUACCUAUGGAUUACAAAUAGAUCUUAUUAACUGCUCAGAACUGACACAUCUAUUUGAAUAAAGGGGCUCAUUUCUUUGCA